rnacentral:rRNA from 1 species
GUGGGGAAUAUUGGACAAUGGGCGAAAGCCUGAUCCAGCCAUGCCGCGUGUGUGAAGAAGGUCUUCGGAUUGUAAAGCACUUUAAGUUGGGAGGAAGGGCAGUAAGUUAAUACCUUGCUGUUUUGACGUUACCGACAGAAUAAGCACCGGCUAACUUCGUGCCAGCAGCCGCGGUAAUACGAAGGGUGCAAGCGUUAAUCGGAAUUACUGGGCGUAAAGCGCGCGUAGGUGGUUUUGUAAGUUGGAGGUGAAAUCCACGGGCUCAACCUGGGAACUGCCUCCAAAACUGCAUGACUAGAGGACGGUAGAGGGUAGUGGAAUUUCCUGUGUAGCGGUGAAAUGCGUAGAUAUAGGAAGGAACACCAGUGGCGAAGGCGACUACCUGGACUGAUACUGACACUGAGGUGCGAAAGCGUGGGGAGCAAACAGGAUUAGAAACCCCAGUAGUCC